UUUCUCUGUGUUCUUACCUUGGCCUUCAAAGAGAGUGUUUGGCAUUAUCUUCUCACUGCCUUUAAGAGUUUUCAGAGAAAUGGGUAAUUUUGAGCCACUGGAGGCUCUUUGUUCAACAGUCAUCUGUGAAAACUAUAUUAAAUUAUCUAUUUAGC